UUUGCUUCUGGGUUUUGGUUAAUUUUAUGAAUUCUGCUGUGUGAAGUAGGUUUUCUUCUUCAUUUUAUCAUAUUUGAUAUUUCAGCAAUGUUUUGUGACAAAAAUUUGAGAACUCGAUGGCUUGCUUCUGUUAACUAUAUGAAUUUUGGUUGGUUAUUCAAAAUAUUCAUGUUUCCUCAGCUUCAUGCAUAACUACGGACAGUUUGGUUUUUUACCUUGUUUCAUUUUCG
rnacentral:misc_RNA from 1 species